UACCCGCAGCACAAGUGGUGGUCAUUAUUAUUGGGCCUAAAGCGUCCGUAGCUGGCUUGUUAGAUGCCUGGGUAAAUCGAUGCGCUCAACGUAUCGAACUCCGGGUAGACCGGCAAGCUUGGGACCGGGAGAGGCGUGAGCUACUCGAGGGGUAGGGGUAAAAUCCUGUAAUCCUUCGGGGAGGACCAGUGGCGAAGGCGUCACGCUAGAACGGCUCCGACAGUGAGGGACGAAGCCCUGGGGCGCAAACCGGAUUAGAAACCUAGUAGUCC
rnacentral:rRNA from 1 species